UCAUGAAAUGAGUGUUUCUUUUGAAAAUUUAAGAUUGAUGCUUUUUGAGGAUGGUUAUAGCAAAGGAUAUAGGACUUUCAUUUAACCAUUGGCGGUUUUAUAGCCUCCUUGAUACGCUCUACUCAGAGAACAAAGAGUGUACUUGUGAAUAUGUGAUGCUGUAUUCACAAUUGCAAAAAGAAAAAAGGAAAGGAAAGGAAAGGAAACAAAUUGAGUUUUCUCAAUGGGACAGAGCGAUGUAUUUUUGGCGAGAAUUGUUUUAUAAGUUAUUUAAUGAUCUUAUUCUCUAUCUUUUCCUGUAGUUUUUUA
rnacentral:lncRNA from 1 species